rnacentral:tmRNA from 2 species
GGGGGCGAAACAGGAUCGACGAGGGCGUAAAGGGCGUGUUUUUUCCCGGUAUUGUUCCGCCGUUAUCGGGCUCUACAAUAGUUGCAAACGACAACUAUGCUCCGGUUGCUCAGGCUGCGUAACGCAGUUUGAAAUACCGAAUUAAAGUCCUGAUGGAUUAAGCCCCGUCAGGCGGGGUCCGGAGGCACCUGGCAACAGAAGCCUCCACU